rnacentral:rRNA from 1 species
GUGUUGCAUGGCUGUCGUCAGCUCGUGUCGUGAGAUGUUGGGUUAAGUCCCGCAACGAGCGCAACCCUCAUCCUUAGUUGCCAUCAGGUAAUGCUGAGUACUUUAAGGAAACUGCCAGUGAUAAGCUGGAGGAAGGUGGGGAUGAUGUCAAGUCAUCAUGGCCUUUAUGGAGUGGGCUACACACGUGCUACAAUGGUGUCUACAAUGGGCUGCAAGGUGCGCAAGCCUAAGCUAAUCCCUAAAAGACAUCUCAGUUCGGAUUGUACUCUGCAACUCGAGUACAUGAAGUUGGAAUCGCUAGUAAUCGUGGAUCAGCAUGCCACGGUGAAUACGUUCUCGGGUCUUGUACACACUGCCCGUCACGCCAUGGGAAUUGGUUUC